rnacentral:rRNA from 1 species
CCUACGGGAGGCAGCAGUGGGGAAUAUUGCGCAAUGGGCGAAAGCCUGACGCAGCGACGCCGCGUGAGGGAUGAAGGUCUUCGGAUCGUAAACCUCUGUCAGCAGGGAAGAACGGUCACUGUGCUAAUCAGCAGUGAAUUGACGGUACCUGCAAAGGAAGCACCGGCUAACUCCGUGCCAGCAGCCGCGGUAAUACGGAGGGUGCGAGCGUUAAUCGGAAUUACUGGGCGUAAAGCGCUCGUAGGCGGUAUGUCAAGUCAAGGGUGAAAUCCCCGCGCUCAACGUGGGAACUGCCUUUGAUACUGGCAAACUGGAGUGUGUGAGAGGAUAGUGGAAUUCCAGGUGUAGGAGUGAAAUCCGUAGAUAUCUGGAGGAACAUCAGUGGCGAAGGCGACUAUCUGGAACAUAACUGACGCUGAGGAGCGAAAGCGUGGGUAGCAAACAGGAUUAGAUACCCCAGUAGUC